rnacentral:rRNA from 1 species
AUGUCUUCAUCCUCCGGCGCCGCUCAACCUAGCCUCAAUGGCCAGGUCACCGAGAAGCUCAACCGCACGAAUUACGUGUUGUGGCGCACGCAGGUCACACCCCACCUGCGGCGCGCCGGUGUCUUCGGCUACGUCGACGGCACCGCGCCGGAGCCGGCCAGACUCCACGUCACCAAGGACAAGGACGGCAAGGAGUCCUCUGAGCCCAACCCUCUCCACCCACUUUGGGUCCGGGAGGAUCAACAAGUGCUUGGCUAUCUACUAAGUACUCUCUCCAAGGAGGUGCUGGUCGCGGUCACCGCGAUCACCACGGCGCGCAAACUCUGGGUGGCCUUGGCGGGCAUGUUCUCGUCCCAGUCCCUCAGCCGCGUCAACAAUCAGGACUGCGCUCAUCAACGCGCAGAAGGGCAACCAAUCAGUCGCCUCCUACUUCGCCUCCCUGCGCGGCCUCGCCGAUGA